rnacentral:tRNA from 1 species
GGGCGAUUAGCUCAGCUGGGAGAGCGCCACCUUGACAUGGUGGAGGUCACUGGUUCGAGCCCAGUAUCGCCCA